rnacentral:rRNA from 1 species
UACAGAGGGGGCAAGCGUUGUUCGGAAUUACUGGGCGUAAAGGGCGCGUAGGCGGCCCGCUAAGUCGAACGUGAAAUCCCCGAGCUCAACUCGGGAACUGCGUCCGAUACUGGUGGGCUUGAAUCCGGGAGAGGGAUGCGGAAUUCCAGGUGUAGCGGUGAAAUGCGUAGAUAUCGGGAGGAACACCAGUGGCGAAGGCGACUACCUGGCCUGUUCUUGACGCUGAGGCGCGAAAGCUAGGGGAGCAAACGGG